AUUAAAAAGAGGUACCAGGACAAUCCAGAGGAGAGGGCAUUAAAGGGAAGCCUGAUGCUAAGCUCCUGAAACGUAUGCAACCUGUUUUCAACAAGAAUCACGGGUUUGUGCCUAAAUGCUGACUGACCAUAAAUAAGCAGAAAUCUGGAAGCCCUGUCAUAACCAUGCAUUCCAUGAGUCCUCCCCCUCUCUGCAGCAUCUACCAUCAACACUUUGAGGACUAGAGCAUGGCUACACAAGGGAUGGUACAGUAGAACACCCA
rnacentral:lncRNA from 1 species